AGUGAACGCUGGCGGCAUGCCUUACACAUGCAAGUCGAACGGUAACAGGUCUUCGGAUGCUGACGAGUGGCGAACAGGUGAGUAAUACAUCGGAACGUGCCUAGUAGUGGGGGAUAACUACUCGAAAGAGUGGCUAAUACCGCAUGAGGUCUACGGAUGAAAGCAGGGGAUCGCAAGACCUUGUGCUACUAGAGCGGCCGAUGGCAGAUUAGGUAGUUGGUGGGAUAAAAGCUUACCAAGCCGACGAUCUGUAGCUGGUCUGAGAGGACGAUCAGCCACACUGGGACUGAGACACGGCGCAGACUCCUACGGGAGGAAGCAGUGGGGAAUUUUGGACAAUGGGCGAAAGCCUGAUCCAGCAAUGCCGCGUGCAGGAUGAAGGCCUUCGGGUUGUAAACUGCUUUCGUACGGAACGAAAAGCCCUGGGUUAAUACCCUGGGGUCAUGACGGUACCGUAAGAAUAAGCACCGGCUAACUACGUGCCAGCCGCCGCGGUAA
rnacentral:rRNA from 1 species